rnacentral:rRNA from 1 species
UACGGAGGGUGCGAGCGUUGUCCGGAAUCACUGGGCGUAAAGGGCGCGUAGGUGGCCUGUGGAAGUCUGCGGUGAAAGCCCGGCGCUCAACGCCGGGUCGGCCGUGGAUACUCUCGGGCUCGAGCUCACUAGAGGCAGAUGGAAUUCCGGGUGUAGCGGUGGAAUGCGUAGAGAUCCGGAGGAAUACCGAUGGCGAAGGCAGGUCUCUGGGCUGAUACUGACGCUCAUGCACGAAAGCGUGGGGAGCAAACAGG